GCAAGAUUAAAACUCAAAGGAAUAGACGGGGACCCGCACAAGUGGUGGAGCGUGUGGUUUAAUUCGAAGAUACGCGAAGAACCUUACCUAGCCUUGACAUAUUUUAGAACUCCGUAGAGAUACAGAGGUGCCUUCGGGAGCUAAUUUACAGGUGCUGCACGGCUGUCGUCAGCUCGUGUCGUGAGAUGUUGGGUUAAGUCCCGCAACGAGCGCAACCCUCGUCACUAGUUACUAACGGUUCGGCCGAGGACUCUAGUGAGACUGCCUUCGUAAGGAGGAGGAAGGUGAGGACGACGUCAAGUCAUCAUGGCCCUUACGGCUAGGGCAACACACGUGCUACAAUGGCCAGGACAGUGAGACGCGAUACCGCGAGGUGGAGCAAAUCUAUAAACCUGGUCUCAGUUCGGAUUGUAGUCUGCAACUCGACUACAUGAAGCUGGAAUCACUAGUAAUCGUAGAUCAGCUAUGCUACGGUGAGUACGUUCCCGGGUCUUGUACUCACCGCCCGUCACACCAUGGGAGUUGAUUUCACCCGAAGCGGGGAAGCUAAACUGGCUACCCUCCACGGUGGAAUUAGCGACUGGGGUGAAGUCGUAACAAGGUA
rnacentral:rRNA from 1 species